rnacentral:lncRNA from 1 species
AAAAACACUCACACUCCAAAAAAUAGGUUUUCUUCAACCUUAAACCCUAAUUUACAGAGGGCUAGCUAGCUCUCUUUGCCAUAAAAGCUUGAGUUUGCUAACUUGAGCGUCGGAGUGUGAACGCCGGGUACCCUGGCUUCACCUCUAACCUAUAUUUCACUGUUUUGCAGGCGUGAAGCUCAUUUUGAAGGACACCUCUCUUGUUUCUGACCUUCCACCAUUGUUACCACUCUCUCUCCCCUUCUCACCUCCCCCGAACUUCAGAUACACCGCAUCGCACACAAUAAACUAGUGAGGUAUUCCAUCUCCCCCAAAAAUAUAAAUUCAUUGUUCUUGAUUGAUUUUGGAUUUUCCUACCCCAAAAUCAGUUGAAAACACAGGGCUUCGGGGAAAAUUGGAAGCCGAUAAUAAAUUCCGAUGCAUUCUUUUAUCAUACAUGUCAAUAUGUGUUUUGUUCCCGAGGCUUGUUCUUCAGGUCGGCAUUCUGACACCACCAGUCUUGGACCAAAUUCAGCCACGGCUCUGUAUAAAAUUUUCAACUCUGUCACGGUAAGCAAAUUAGGCAUGUUAUUGAGGAACAAACUCUUUAGACUAGCUUUGCAAUCCUGCACUUUCAGUAUCAAAAAGGAAUUUUCACAGCUAUGAUUCUCACCAUAAAAUCUUAUUAUUUAUUUUUUUUUUCAUUUUUUUCAUUUUUUUCAUCUUAGUGAACGGAAAAGCUAGAAUGGACUGCCACUUAGAAUUGGCUGAAUACUUUUUGACUAGUUUUCUUUGUCAUCAAAAAGCAAGAUUGAUUUCGGCUUACGUUGAUUGUUGAACCAAUCCUUUUUUUUUUUUUUUUUUUUUUCCAGCGUCCAUGUGAAAACCUAUCGAUAAAAGCACGUAUGUCCAGGUGUGAUAACAAAAGCAAGCCACUUUAAGAAAUAAUGCAUGUACUUAGCCAUGGAACAUCAUCUUAUUUUGAAAGGUCAAUUCACUGGCGCCAAGUUUAAAUCAACAUUGUGAAUUAGAUGUAACUAUCUCUAUGAUUUCAAAUCAGUACUAAAAAUUCCAUUUAAUUGUUACCUCAUAAGACUGUGC